CUCUCCAACCUCAUUAGUUUCAGCAUCAGGGCCUCCACUCCACCACCAGUAUCAGGAUCCUGGGGGAAGACUUCUCUAAUUCUAACCCUAAGAUGUUCAUUCAAGCUCAUGUCAUUAUCAGCCUCCAUAUCUUUCACCGGGGUCCAAGCGCCAAAAGAAAGCAAACAUCAGCUAAUAAACUCCUCUACUCGC